rnacentral:rRNA from 1 species
AGGACUAACGCUGGCGGCGUGCCUAACACAUGCAAGUCGAACGAGGGGUAGCAAUACCCCUAGUGGCAGACGGGUGAGUAACACGUAGUCAACCUACCUCUUAAUGGGGGAUAACUAGCCGAAAGGUUAGCUAAUACCGCAUACGAUCGUCGAGUGGCAUCACACGACGAUGAAAGGAGCAAUCCGUUGAGAGAGGGGACUGCGUCCCAUUAGUUAGUUGGUGGGGUAAUGGCCUACCAAGACUCCGAUGGGUAGCUGGCUUGAGAGAGCGACCAGCCACACUGGAACUGAGACACGGUCCAGACUCCUACGGGAGGCAGCAGUGAGGAAUUUUCCGCAAUGGGGGAAACCCUGACGGAGCGACGCCGCGUGUGGGAAGAAGGCCUUCGGGUCGUAAACCACUGUCGAGGGGACGAUAUUGACGGUACCCCUGGAGGAAGCCCCGGCUAACUACGUGCCAGCAGCCGC